GGCCGAACGACCGAGACGUUGAGGUCGCGUGGCCGAAUGCAGGAUUCCGAAUUCGCUAAGUCCUUGUGAGGUCGGAUGACCAAGUAGUUGGGACUAGAUGACCGGACACUUGGGGCAAAAUGGCUGAAAGGUUGAGGUCGCGUGCUCGAAUGUUGGAUGCCAAAUUUGGCUAAGUCCCUAUGAAACCGGAUGGCCAAGAAGUUGGGGCCAGAUAUCCGGAUAGUUGGGGCCGAAUAACCGAAAGGUUGAGGCCGAAUGACUGAAACCUGUAAGGCCGGAUGACCGAGUUGUUGAGGCCGGAUGGCCGGACAGUUCUGGCCAAAUGGCGGGAUGCUGGAUG
rnacentral:sRNA from 1 species